rnacentral:sRNA from 1 species
AAUCAGGUGUCACUGAACUGAAGGGGUGAACUAGAGGAGAAGAGGGUGACUGGGCGGGGAGAAGCUGCGGGAGAAGCAAAGGGACGACUGAGGGAAUAAUCAGGAGACCACUGAGGCGUGAAAUUAGCUGGCUGGUGUUUGGUUGUUCUGGAGUGAUCUUCUGACUGGAAAAGAACUAUGUCAUGGAUCAAGGAAGGAGAACUGUCACUUUGGGAGCGGUUCUGUGCCAACAUCAUAAAGGCAGGCCCAAUGCCAAAACACAUUGCAUUCAUAAUGGAUGGGAACCGUCGCUAUGCCAAGAAGUGCCAGGUGGAGCGGCAGGAAGGCCACUCACAGGGCUUCAACAAGCUAGCUGAGACUCUGCGGUGGUGUUUGAACCUGGGCAUCCUAGAGGUGACGGUCUACGCAUUCAGCAUUGAGAACUUCAAACGCUCCAAGAGUGAGGUAGACGGGCUUAUGGAUCUGGCCCGGCAGAAGUUCAGCCGCUUGAUGGAAGAACAGUAAGAUGCUAUCAGA